UACAGAAGCCUCAAGCGUUACCCGGAUUUAUUGGGCGUAAAGGAUGUGUAGGUGGUGUGAUUAGUCUUGUGUUAAAUCUUCAGGCUUAACCUGGAGCUCGCGCGAGAAACGGUCAUACUAGAGGAAGUGAGAGGUGUGUGGAACUCAAGGUGUAGGGGUGAAAUCCGUUGAUAUCUUGGGGAACACCAAAAGCGAAGGCAACACACUGGCACUUUCCUGACACUGAAACAUGAAAGCGUGGGUAGCGAAUCGG
rnacentral:rRNA from 1 species